GCGGCCGUAGUUCAACGGUAGAACCCGACCCUCCCAAGGUCGUGAUGCCGGUUCGAUUCCGGUCGGCCGCUCCA
rnacentral:tRNA from 2 species